rnacentral:rRNA from 1 species
GGAAUAUUGGUCAAUGGAGGCAACUCUGAACCAGCCAUGCCGCGUGCAGGAUGACUGCCCUAUGGGUUGUAAACUGCUUUUGUCAGGGAAUAAACCUUUCUACGUGUAGAAAGCUGAAUGUACCUGAAGAAUAAGGAUCGGCUAACUCCGUGCCAGCAGCCGCGGUAAUACGGAGGAUCCAAGCGUUAUCCGGAUUUAUUGGGUUUAAAGGGUGCGUAGGCGGUCCUAUAAGUCAGUGGUGAAAGACGGCAGCUUAACUGUCGCAGUGCCUUUGAUACUGUAGGACUUGAAUCUAUUUGAAGUGGGCGGAAUAAGACAAGUAGCGGUGAAAUGCAUAGAUAUGUCUUAGAACUCCGAUUGCGAAGGCAGCUCACUAAGUUAGUAUUGACGCUGAUGCACGAAAGCGUGGGGAUCAAACAGGAUUAGAUACCCUGG